UCUUCUCCACUAGGACAUUCUAGACACCGAAACGCCUAAAAGUAAACACGAAAGUUAUUCCCCACUCAACAACGGUUCAAUUCAGGGGAUUAAAAUCUGUUUUAGUGCACAGUAAAAUCGCCAAUUUUGGCCAUCAAGACCAUUACCGUUUUGGCUGAUUCCGUUCGUCUCCCGUCGCUCUACUCCCUCUCGCUGUGUAUAAAGCUACCCCGACCUUCCCAUCGCAUAUCACACCCCUCCACCGAUCCACGCCCCCAGGCUGCCCCUGUGGAGGGCGGAUUUCUUCGCCGAAGUUCCGACGGCCGCCGCGACGUCUCGUCGAAUUCUCUGGCCGGAGGUCCGUGCACGUGACACCAGUGUCGCUGUAGGUGUCCGCCACCAUCUCCAGGAGUUUCGACAGAGGAGUCCGAGUACGUUAUCAUCUGAAGCGUUUUUAUUCUUCGGAGACGCACACGCAGACGAAGCUAUUCUCCGCAGCCACGCACAACCUCUACGACUGGCGAAGUCUCGUUGAUUUCACGAAGAGUGACGGGAUAAUUUUUAUCAAGGAAGUAAUAUUGAUAAUUAUGUUGACAAGAUAAUUAUUCUUCAUCAAUGAAAGGCAAGUUACACAUGACCUUUUGUCCUACUAUUUUUGAAUAUGCAUGUUUUACAAGUAUUUUUGUAGAAACGCAUGUGUAGGAAAAUUAUGCUUUGCUAUCCUAGUAGAGAGCCAUAGGAUUUCUUACCAUGUUCCUUGUAGCCCUUUUUAUUAAAAUGCGUAUAUUGUAUGAGUGCUUAGCCAAUUGCUUGGUAGACGUGGGACAUGGGUUUUCAAAGAACAAAAUCAUUUAUGAAAAUUGACAUGCGCCCAUUCUGGGGUGAUAUGGUGAAAAUAUUUUUGAAAUAAAAACUUAUCAAAAUGUUUUCCUCUGGGCGGAGUGGUAUGUUGGGAGCGUCUACAAGAGCUGCAUCCAGUGAGUGGCUCUGCAGACUCAGGUUUUGGUGGGGACCGCCGCCCAGGGUCAAAGAGAUCUUCAAAGUUUCAGUUGAAGAAGCUUCCAGUACAACCACAUGCUAUAUGGGCUCUGGCUUAGUCGUACAUAGAGGGAAACCCUUGCAUCGGUACCGCCAUUGGAGAGGGGUCUUCGGAUCAUAGUUGCGGGCGGACUGGGAUUAUGUAUAGGGGGCUUCUAUGGAAAACUUCGUCAUGAUCCAUGCCCGGUUAAGCCAAAUGAAGGAUACAACAAAAAGGAUGGAUUGUGACAUGUGGGGAAAGUGUACAACCUCUGCAGAGUGUAUGAUCUAAUCGAUUAGCCGUGCUCCCGGAUAUGAGCAAUUUGAGCAACUGAAGAUUGAAGCGGAUGAAGGAUCUCCUAUGUUUUCAAAACCUUUUCAAAAAUUGUUUUGGCAUGCUAAGUUUAUCCAGUGAGUGGCUCUGAACUUAGGAUUGUCCGAACUGUUUUGCAAUUACUACUUUCAUCCAGUGAGUGGCUCUGGAGUUAGUUUAGCUUGUUUUGGGGAUGGGAUGUAGGAUGGUCAACCUUGGUGGAUUCCUUGUGUUUGUCCAUCCCUAUAUUAUUUUAUUUUAAAAAAAUAUAUAAAGACAAAGAAAGUUUCUAAAAAGAUUUUCACAAAACAAAAUUGGCUUUACGCAAAAUAAACCAUGAGCCUUCCUUUGACAUACCUUUGCAUGUAUAAAAAUAUAAACCACUUUGCAACUUGUGUAACUUGCCAAUACAUUCAAAGUAUUGACCAAAUAUUUUUGGCUGUAACUUUACCUGUUGCAGAUGACGAGUAAGGACGAUAGGAUCACGGGCCUAUACUCAACAAGCCGUGUGGCGUUGAUGAAGCCCAAGACGUACCUUUAUGUUUCCGCUGUAAUGUGAGCCAGCCACUAUGCUGUGCAAGAUUGUAAUAAACUCUGGAUUCAACGUUUGACUAAUAAAAUGACGUAUGUUAUAUCUUGA